rnacentral:snRNA from 1 species
AUAUAUGCUUAUAAAAAAAUCUGUUCUUAUCAGUUUAAUAUUCGAUACCGCCCCCAUCGGGGUACUAUAUAUUAAAUGGAUUUUUCGAACAGGGAUUCGGAAAUGGCUUGCUCGGGCCGCGCACGCACGACCCGGUAUUGCAGUACCUCCGGGAACGGGUGCAACACUU